rnacentral:lncRNA from 1 species
CAAACUAAACCCUCUAGGGUUCUCUCCCAAAACGAUUCUUCAUCUCUUCCGUCGACUCCUCCAUCCAAACCCUAAUGGCGACUCCGGUCACACGCUCCACUCCGGUCUCUCAUCUUCUUCAAAUUAAUUACUAACUAGCAAUUACUGGUGUACUAAUUACUACCAACGAUGAAAUCUAAAUAAUUCCCAAAAAUCAAAUUGUUUCCCUUAAUUAUUUACAUAUUUCAUUGAUUUACCAAUUUAAUUGUACUUAUAUAUAUUGGAGACGCCGCAGAGGGCACCAUGUAGAGAGAAGCAUGAGCUGGAAGUCGAGGCAGCGACGAAGACGGGGGAGACAACUGUGGAAGGAACCUCGGACCGGUGGAGUUGAAUCAAGCGACCAUACACGAUUGUUGAUGGUGGAGUCACUAUUGGGUCUGGUCCAUCAUACCCACACCAUGAAUGUUAUAAAAAUUCUAAAGAAUUAAUUUGAC